rfam:Camelus ferus unplaced genomic scaffold scaffold1679, whole genome shotgun sequence.
GAGGGUAUAGCUCCGUGGUAGAACGCUUGCUUAGCAUGCAUGAGGUCCUGGGUUCGAUCCCCAGUACCUCCU